rnacentral:rRNA from 1 species
UACGUAGGGUCCGAGCGUUGUCCGGAAUUACUGGGCGUAAAGAGCUCGUAGGUGGUUUGUCGCGUUGUUCGUGAAAACUCACAGCUCAACUGUGGGCGUGCGGGCGAUACGGGCAGACUGGAGUACUGCAGGGGAGACUGGAAUUCCUGGUGUAGCGGUGGAAUGCGCAGAUAUCAGGAGGAACACCGGUGGCGAAGGCGGGUCUCUGGGCAGUAACUGACACUGAGAAGCGAAAGCAUGGGGAGCGAACAGG